rnacentral:sRNA from 1 species
CUGCUGCUGCAGCUCCUGCUGCUGCUGCUGCAGCAGCUGCUGCAGCUGCUGCAGCUGCUGCCGAAGCUGCUGCAGCAGCGGGUGCAGCCGCUGGUGCAGCUGACGCAGCAGCUGCUGCAGCUGCUGCAGCAGCUGAUGCAGCUGCUGCUGCAGCGCGUGCUGCGGCUGCUGCAGCAGCUGCAGCAGCUGCAGCAGCUGCUGCAGCAGCUGAUGCAGCAGCUGCUGCAGCCUUCUUGC